GAUCUUUGUUUUUGAAACAGCAAAGCUUUUGGGAGUAUAUUUAGCACAUAUGACAAAUGUUGCACUUGGAAACUCAGACAACAAAACUAGUUUCUGAUGACAAAUUUGUUGUCGCAGUAGGGGACAAUCGUCUGUGUCUCUUACAAUCAGGUCUUUACCUUAACUCUGCAACUGAAUACUUGAAGUAGGAAAUAAACUAGGGGGAAAUAGGGUCACAGAUACAAAGCUGUAUAGUUAGAUAUUUAUAUGUGUGUGCCAAUUUUGUCACAGAUAUUAUUUUAAGGGCAUUUUUGCUCUACUCAUGUUGUUGAGAGUUUUUUUCCCCCUGUAAGUGUAAAGGAGCAAACCAACUUUUGGUUAACAUUUAAGAUAAUGAUUAUUAUUUUAAUGUGAGAUCACUCUUGUACUGCACAUUCUUUCUUUCAUUUAAAUGUACAGUAUGAAUUUUGUAUUUAAUGAAUUUUGUGUAUUCAGUAUGCACGUACCUGAACAUUGACUUUCAUUUGAAAGUGGGUUUCAAUUUACUUUUUAAACAGUGUUUAUGAAAAGACCUCAGAUGUGUUGACACAAACUAUAUCUGCAAUGUUUUUUUUGUGUGUGUAGGGUGACGUUUGAAUGUGAUGUUCUGCAGCAAUGGGUCAGUAUUCCCUAUUUACCUUAGAUCCUCAUUUGAUAGUGCUUCUUGUAAUAAUUUUUUCAAGUGAGUGGCAUGUUCUGGAUUGUGAUAUUGAUAUAUGGUUAAGGACAUUGAUAUGAAACUAAGGAAUUCCUAGAAAAUACCAGUGGGCAUGUAUUAGACAGUCAUUGUAAUUUAAUGUCUAGUAGAAGUGUAAAGUACCAAGGUAUUUAGAGUUCAUAACAUCGUUAUCAUGUGUAUGGGAAGUAUUUAGUGUUGAUCAGCUUGUUUAUAUUCAUCAAAUAAACUUUGUUUCUUUCUGAAA